rnacentral:rRNA from 1 species
GUCGACAGCCAUACCACCUGAACAUGCCUGAUCUCAGAAGCUAAGCAGGAUCAGGCAUGGUUAGUACUUGGAUGGGAGAUCAUCUUAAGAAGAAAAUCAGGCCUUCUCCA